CGAUACAGCCAAAGCGCCAGUGAUAGCCCUUUCGAUCAUUUAAUUUGGAGAGAUUCUUUAUAUUUUCCUCCGUUACCACGAAGAAACACGCGAUGCUUCCUCCUGACUCGGCCUUUUCACUCUCCCUCUUCCUCAUCCGCGGUGAAACCUUCCGUCCCACAUCCGGCGCGUCGAAGAUGGUGCCUCUUGCCACUGGUGUGGGAAAACGCCCCCAGGUUUCGCUGUUUCCUUGAUGCGAGGGAGCCGAUCGGAGGCUGGAGCGCGCCGGUCAAUCUCUGCUGCUGCUCGGUUGUUGUGAUGUUCGUCGCAUGAAUCCCGCAAUAAUUUCGGAUCUUUUGUUGUUGCUCCGCUGCUUCUUCGGUUGAGGUUUUGGGUGAGGGAGUUGUUUCCUUGGCAAAAGGUUUAGUCAUAAAAAAUGGCUGAACAUGAGAAAGAUUAUGUUCCAAUGCUAUCAGGCAAUAUAGAGAUGCGAAGAUUUACUGCUAGGAGUGCAUCAAUGUCUGUGCCACCAAAUGCAUCUUAUGAUGGUGAAGAUUCUUUGGUGUUUCAUACUGGUCCUCUGCGUACCCAGAGGACAACAGAGUAUGGAGUUGCAGUUGGCCCUUUAAGUAGGAACAGAAAACCAGAAAAUCAUUGGACUGGACAUGGCAAACUGCACAACAGAUCCCAAGCUGUUAUGCCAGAAGUAUUGGGUGGAGGGGCCUUUCCAGAUACUAACUAUGUGACGAGAAAUGAACAUCUGCUGAUGUCUGGACCUUUGGGUUUAUGCAAUAACCCUGACUGCACUGAAUGCCCUGCAGUUUAUAAAGCCAAAAGAAGUCACCAAAAAAGUUCAGUUUCUCUGGAAAAGAAGCUUCAUAACAUUCUCUAUGGGGAUGAUGAUAGAUGGGUUAAGAAAUGGAUAUCUGGUCUCAAUUCAUAUUUCCCAAUCAUGAAUCCUCAUACAAAAGUUGUUCAACAGUGGAACAAAUUUUUUGUCAUAUCUUGCUUAAUUGCAAUUUUCAUCGAUCCAUUGUUUUUCUUCCUUUUGUCUGUUCAGAAGAACAACAAGUGUAUAGUUUUUAACUGGUCCUUGGCAACAGCAAUUGCAGUCGUGCGAAGUCUGACUGAUUUCAUUUACCUUCUGCACAUCAUACUUCAGUUUAGGCUUGCAUAUGUUGCUCCUGAAUCUAGAGUGGUUGGCGCUGGGGAUCUAGUUGAUCAGCCAAAAAAAAUUGUUCUUCAUUAUCUUCGUGGAUACUUUUUAUUGGAUUUGUUUGUUGUGUUGCCGCUUCCUCAGGUAAUGAUAUUAGCAGUAAUACCAAAUUAUGUGGGAUCAUCAGAAGCAAAUUAUGCCAAAAAUCUUUUACGUGUAACUGUCCUUCUUCAGUAUAUCCCAAGAAUUAUCAGAUUUCUACCACUUCUUGGUGGGCAGUCAGCAAGUGGUUUCAUCUUUGAGUCAGCAUGGGCGAACUUCGUAAUUAAUCUUCUUAUGUUUGCAUUGGCUGGACAUGUCGUGGGUUCAUGUUGGUAUCUGUUUGGCUUACAGAGAGUGAACCAAUGUCUACAAGAUACCUGCUCUGCAACACCAAAUAAUUUUAAUUGCAGCACAUUAAUUGAUUGUGGACGUGGUCAUGCUAUUCAAAAUGAUGCCAGACAACAAUGGGUUCAUGAUAAUAAUUCUUCAGCUUGCUUUAACACUAAUGGAGAUUUUGAUUAUGGGAUAUACCAGAAAACUGUUUUGCUGACCACGAAGUCUAGUGCGGUGAAGAGAUAUAUAUACUCUCUUUUUUGGGGCUUUCAGCAAAUCAGUACUCUAGCUGGUAACCAAGUUCCAAGUUACUUCGUGUGGGAAGUUUUGUUCACCAUGGCAAUCGUUGGACUAGGCCUGCUUCUUUUUGCCUUGCUCAUUGGAAACAUGCAGAAUUUUCUUCAGGCUCUUGGUAGAAGGAGACUUGAAAUGCAACUUCGACGACGUGACGUUGAACGGUGGAUGAGCCAUCGGCGAUUACCUGAACCAUUAAGGAGGAAAGUAAGACAAGCUGAAAGAUUUAGUUGGGCUGCAACUCGAGGUGUUAAUGAAGAAGAACUACUAGAGAAUUUACCCGAGGACAUACAAAGAGAAAUACGUCGCCAUUUCUUUAAGUUUCUCAAUAAAGUCCGUAUUUUCACUCUAAUGGAUGAACCAAUCUUAGAUGCUGUCUGUGAAAAGUUGAGGCAAAAGGUGUACAUUGGAGGAAGUGCCAUAUUUUAUGAAGGAGGUACAGUUGAGAAGAUGGUUUUUAUAGUCCGUGGGAAAUUGGAAAGCAUUGGAGCAGAUGGAAACGUAGCUCCACUCUCCGAAGGAGAUGUAUGUGGUGAGGAGCUCCUUACGUGGUAUCUUGAGCACUCUUCAAUUAAUAAAGGAUUUUGUUUUGCUUGCAGAGGGUGGGAAAAUCCGAUUCCCAGGAUCGCGCUUAUUCGCUACCAGGACUGUUAAAUGCAUUACUAAUGUUGAAGCAUUUGCUCUUCGUGCUGCUGAUCUGGAAGAAGUAACUACAUUGUUCUCCAGGUUCUUGAGAAAUCCACGUGUACAAGGAGCCAUUAGGUAUGAAUCACCCUAUUGGCGCAACAUGGCUGCGACGCGCAUUCAAGUGGCUUGGAGAUACAGGCAGAGGCGUAUAAAGCGGGUGUCAACUAACUCUAGCUCUCGUGCUCGUUGAUGAGCAUCCAUCCGAUUCAGCAAAAACAAACAUUUAUUCCUGUAAUUUGUAUCUAUAUCCAUAUUCGGCUGUAUGAAGCAAAAAGGUCCCUUCCUGGAUAGCAUUCUCUUGCGAUAGGGUUAUGAUCGUCUCAGUCUCAACAUCGAGAGGACAAGUGGUGCGUGAACAUGCCCAAGUUUCCUGUGAAAGAAGCUUAGGGCAAAGACGGUUCGUAUGUUCUACUCCUUGGUCACAGUUUAUUGCUGUGUCACACCUCACAAUCUGGCCUUAUUUCAUAUGAACCAUUGACAAGAGUACAUGGUGGGAUUUCGACAAUCUCGGUGGUUCCCUUUCUUAUUGUGAUCAAACACGAUAUCUGAUUUGAUCAUUAAUUUAGGAUCUAACAGGAUUAUGGUGUGUGCCAAAGGAGUCAACAACUACAGCAACCUGCUUGACCUGAGGAUGAGGUCAAGCCCAAGGAGAAAUCUGACAAGUGAUGGAUGAAGCCAUGUAGGAUAAACAUAUUUAUCAUAUGUUAUGACCAAUACAUAAGGUAAGUUUUGUGGAGAUUCGAGUUAAUAUUGUUGUCAUCAUUAUGUAUGGGAGUAUGUUUGACCAUUCUAUGACAAUCUGAUUGUUAUGUCAUGGU